AUCUAGCUGACGUGUCCCGUAUAGGACGAAACGCACGUCCUGAAU
rnacentral:hammerhead_ribozyme from 1 species